ACACUUACCUGGCAGUGGAGAUACCAUGAUCAUGAAGGUGGUUUUCCGAAGGCAAGGCUUAUCCAAUUGCACUCUGGAUGUGCUGACCCCUGUGAUUUCCCCAAAUGUGGGAACUUCAACUGUAGAAUUUGUGGUAGUAGGGGAGUGGGUUCGCACUCUGU
rnacentral:snRNA from 1 species